rnacentral:lncRNA from 1 species
GUAAUCCGAUUUCUUAUCUCAAAAAUUCAAGAUUUGACCAAAUUAUAUUUUUUUUGUUAAACAAAUUGGUUCCGUUACCGGUAAUCUAAUAAUCCGUUCUUUCUAAAUUAAUAUUCAACCUAUUGUCAGUAUGUCGAACAACAACGACAACAAUAACCAGGAAAAUCUGAACCAUCAAAUUGAUGAUGAUGAACUCAACAACGCUAACCUUCAAAUUUCUCCACAUGGAUCUCGUGAAGGUACUCCACAUGAUAUGUCCAAACAUGUUGACGAAGGAGCUGAAACAAGAGAUGACCUUUUAAAGAAAAUAAUCGAAUCACGGAUUGACAAUGCUUUGCGAGCCCUAGUUAGUCAAUUGCCUGCUGCACCAGCAAUACCAAACAACAACACGUGGAAAACCCUCGCUCUGGUCUAGUUGAUUCUGGCAAUGGAGCAACUCCUAGUUACUCACAAGAUGGAGAACCAGGU